AGUGCUUGACUGCUCCCCUCCCAGACAGGCUGUCUUUAAGUCAGCUUGGAUGAACCAGAACUCUGUAUCUGUGUUUGCCCUGGGGACCAUAAUUAUUAAGGCAUUUUCUCAUCUGAGCCACAUGCAACUCAUUAAAAAGGUGCAAUCAAUAGCAAGCACAGACUGUGGACAGCAUAAGUAUUGAAAUCCAGCUUUAUCUCCCUAACCACAUUUUCAGGAGCUGCCCCUGAGUGCACCCCCAGCACUUGAGAGUGAGUCCUCUCAUACAUCAGCAAUAACACCAUGCAUCUGCUGGAGAUCUGCAAAGCCUCAUCAGUGUGAUGUGCAGAGGAGGAUGCCAAGGAAAUGAUUCAAACCUGGGAAAAUGCCUUAGUCCAAAAGUCAGACUCAUCUUGCCUAAGUACAGAAGUCUGUAAUGCAGGCUGUGAUAUGAGGUAGCCAGCACAGAAUUCCUUGACUGCUCCUAGAGAGAAAUAGGAAUGCUGUGAGGGACAUUUAUGCAGCCUGGUUUAAAGAUUCACUCUGGGAUGAGAUGAACUUCGCUGUGAAAGGGUUCAUUACUCCAAGCUGACUCCAAAGGGAUGGUGACUAGUGCUGUACAGCCAUCUGUUGGGUAGAAGUGCACAUCUGGCCUGAUAUAUCCAUGUGAGAGACCGAAAAAGUUCCGUCCACUUAAUUCGUCAGAAGCAGACCACAGUGCUAACAUAUAAAGGAGACCUUCAUGUAAAGACAGUUUUGUUUCCAAUGGGCAUUGUUAACAGCAGACAGAAACAGGAAUUAACGGGUGUAGGCUGAAGCCAGGUACACAUGCAAGGAAAAUACAAAGUGAAGUGCUUUGUACAAUGAAUGAAACAAGCCACUGCUCAACAGUAGAAGAGGUGGCUUCUUGAUCUCUGGGAGCCUCCAAUGUCUUUAUGAAACAUCAGUGCUCCAAUUCCAUUUAAUGUGGAUUAAAGGAAUAAAUUUAUUAACCAGAAUAAACUGUGUUGCUCCAUAAAUCAGACUGGAUCAGAUUACUUCAGAAUGUCUGGCUGGUCCCUGUCUUAAAUUUGUUUUAAAACAUGCAUACUUUUCUAUAUCUAACAGUCUUUUCCUCUGUUCUCCAGGGGAAAUAAA